AAAAGAUAAAAACUUUGAGAAAAAAAUCAUCAUAAUUGAGUGUUGCUUUCAUACUGACCCCAGAAAAAGAAUCAAGAAGGCCCCUUUGCAGAAGAAAGCGGGAAAGGCAGGUGUAGAGAAGUGAAAGAGGGAAUCCCAGAAUCAAAGCGUAGUAGAAGGGGUCGUGGAUCCAUUGCUCGACGGAGGAGCCCAAGAGUCGGCCCGAACCCAUAAUUGAGCUCAACCACUCGCAGAAGGACCCUAUAUCCGGCCCGAAGAAGGCGUUGAUGGCGUACGUAACGCAGUGGUGAGGGCCGAAUCUCCCGUUCGAAACAUGCAUCAGCCCUUGGCCCGACCCGAUGGCGUAAAUCAUGUGCGGGCCCGGGCCCGGCAUGCUGCGGUGUGAAGCUUUUGGCAGAAUUUGCUGUUGGCUGAAUUUUGGUCUGUGGAAAACGUAAAGAAAAGUCUACCCGACUUUUAUUUCUUGGAGUUGGAGACUAGUAAAGUAGUAAUGAACUGAACUUAAUUCCUGUAUUAGUAGGUAUGCCAAUUAUUUAUAUUUAGAAAUUCAUUUAUUUGGCACUUGUGUGAUUUUUUUUUUUNAUGUAAGGAAAUUCCUAAUGAGAAAUCUCCCAAUAUUUGAAAGAAAAGAUAAAAACUUUGAGAAAAAAAUCAUCAUAAUUGAGUGUUGCUUUCAUACUGACCCCAGAAAAAGAAUCAAGAAGGCCCCUUUGCAGAAGAAAGCGGGAAAGGCAGGUGUAGAGAAGUGAAAGAGGGAAUCCCAGAAUCAAAGCGUAGUAGAAGGGGUCGUGGAUCCAUUGCUCGACGGAGGAGCCCAAGAGUCGGCCCGAACCCAUAAUUGAGCUCAACCACUCGCAGAAGGACCCUAUAUCCGGCCCGAAGAAGGCGUUGAUGGCGUACGUAACGCAGUGGUGAGGGCCGAAUCUCCCGUUCGAAACAUGCAUCAGCCCUUGGCCCGACCCGAUGGCGUAAAUCAUGUGCGGGCCCGGGCCCGGCAUGCUGCGGUGUGAAGCUUUUGGCAGAAUUUGCUGUUGGCUGAAUUUUGGUCUGUGGAAAACGUAAAGAAAAGUCUACCCGACUUUUAUUUCUUGGAGUUGGAGACUAGUAAAGUAGUAAUGAA
rnacentral:lncRNA from 1 species